CGCCCCCCGGCGGGCGGAGCCCGGCGCCGCGGCCAGGAUUUCCCACCUCGCUCCCGCGACUCCGCUGCGGGUCUGCACACCCGAGGACUCGGGGUACUUAACCGAAACUAGCAAUCCCAGGCGGUACAAGGCCCUCCAUCGUAGGCAAAGCACUACCUGAAUGUAGAUUUGGGCCAUACGUUGGAAAAUAAGACAUGAGAGUAUGCUCCGAUCAACUUUUACUGUUCACUGGACAACUAUUUUGGGAAUUUGCAGACCUAUAAAGCCCAUCUAUAAAUCUCAAGCAUGUCCACUUUCAGAGAAGAGAAAUGCUGACAACCAUUUAGUCUCUGAGGACAACACUUUUAAAGUGUAACAAUGUGGCAUCCAGAGCUUAUCCAGAUGAGCGGAGAGCAAAUGAAUUUCCUUCUGCUCCCCUGUUGAAGAGGAGAGAAAAAUUCUUCAAGCUGGGUCAAAUCAAGUUCAGAGGAAUAGCCCCAUGGGGAUGGGAAGCCUCCAGAUAUGCAGGUAAAGGAAAGGCCAUGCAAGAGAGAAGCCUGCAGCCUCCAGGGACUUGCUUUGGCGACUGGGGUGUGGGGUGUUUACGGCCUCAUUUUGUGCCAAAGCCACUCUCUUUUCCCGGACUCACUACUUCUCAGAGUCCCUCCUGACCAUGAAAAUUAGGACAGAAAAUCACAAGGCAGUCACCCCAAUUUCUUAAAGUCUAGGAACAACUCAGCUAGGGCCAGCUUCCUGGGCAUGCGACCUGUGCAGUCACAAAGGGCUCCAGGCUUACAAGAGCCCCGCACUUGGCAUAAUGCUCUGCCAUCUCCAUCUUGAAAUUCUUAAGACUCUUUGAACAAAGAGUCCAUUUAUUUAUGAAUAUCCAGAUCUUGUAUACAAAGCCAUAAAGCAUUUUUAGCACAAGAACACAAGCUGUUGCUCAUCUUAGUGCACUCUUAUCAAUGACAAGAGAACCAAAGGAUGGAAAUAAUUAGGCUAAGACUAAAAUGAGCCCAAUUUUUAAUAAAAAUUAAAUUUUAGGGGCACUAUGAUACAGAGGUCAGAGGUAUUUUUCUAGGAUAUGUGUCAUUUCUGCUUUCCAUCUGGUUUGAUUAUUUUGAGAUAGUAUGUGGUUUGCUAGACAUUUCAAACCAGACAUACAAUACAGCUACCUAAAAGUCACUGUAGGUUUUUGAUUUUUUUUUUUAAUAAAGUGAGAAAACCUGAGUGCAAACCUAGGUAUUGGAUAAUAGCAUAUCUGUUAACACCAAGGAACAGUGCCAGCCCUAUACAGAAGUGAAGACUGUGAAGUUUCAAAGCAUCCCUUUACCUCCUCUUUCAGUAUCCCUUUAUCCCAUUAUGUUUGUACCCCUUUCUCCUUAUAGUAAAAAUAGAUUUCUGGGAAACUUACAUAUAAAAUCUUGUCCCCUCUGCCACUGAGUUGAGCCAAAAGUCUACAUCCCAUUUCUAUGUGGCUUUGUUCUCUGCUGACUUUAAUGGUUAGAAAGCUAUCUGAUAAUUAAUCCCUGUAAAAUUAUUACCUGGUAGUACUAACUUAAGAUGUGACUUCUACCUGGGAUGCUCUGCAUUUUAAUACUUUAUAAAUAUCUCAAAGUCUUAAAGAUUCAAGAAAUGAAUUUCUCCCAGAGCCAUUGUAAAGCCCACUGACAAGCCAGUGGGUGCUUCCUGAAGGCCUUUGAUUGCAUCUGGCAGACAGCUGCCUUCGUGUCUGCUUGGAAGAGCUGCCCAUGAUGGCAAUGUGUGGCCAAGAAAUAGAAGAAACCAUUCCAGUGAUUCCUUUAGUUCAUGCUAAACUUGAAUAGCUCAGUAGUUCAUCCAGACUAAUGAUUUACAUCUUGUCACAUUGUCCCACUUAUGGUAGAUGCUAACAUACAGGAAAAGCAACGUCCUUUACAUAACCCCAGUACUUCCUCUCCCGUUCUCCUUGCUGACUUUGCUUCCUAGGUCACCGAGAAAAUGAAAAUCACUGGAGAACUUUCACAAUCUCUCACCACAUCUCCCACUUGCCAGCAACUACUCUCACAGAUACUCUUCUCUUUUCAUUCAUGAAGAAUUGUCCAUAUUUCUCUUUAAGGCCACUGGAUCCCAUCACCUGCUCAAGGUCAUCACUCCCGCAGUUCACUCCUCACUUAUGGAUUAUUUCCAUCUGCAUGCAAAUGCACCAUCUUAUCUGAAAAUCAAUAACAACCCCCUCUCUUGACCCCACUUUCUGCCCAGGCUACUGAUCAUUUCUAUUUCAGUUCACAUCAAAACUCCUUGAAAAACUUACCUACCCUUACUGUUCCAACUUCUUGCCUCUCAUUCUCCUUCAACCUGCUUCAGUCGAGUUUUUGUUCCUGCUCACUCCACCAAAACUGCUCUUGUUAAGUUCCCCAGUGACUUCCAUGUUGCUUAACCCGAUGGUUCAUUCUCAGGCCUCUCAGCCACAUCUGAGACAGUUCAUCACUCCCUUCUCCCAGAAAUUCUCUUUGCUUGGCUUCCAGGAUCCCAGGCUCUCCUGAUUUUCUUUCUACCUCAUUGGCUGCUCUUCCUCAGAUCCUUUGCUGAUUCUUCCCCCAUCGCUUUGUCCCCUUAACAAUGGAGUGCUCCAAGGUAAGCCUCAGACCAUUUUUCUUCUGAAUCUACACUCACUCUUUUGGCCAUCUCAUGGAGACUCAUGGCUUUAAAUACCAUGUAUAUGCUAAAUACUCCCAAAGCUGUCUCUACAGCGCAGACUUUUCUUUGAAACUCCAGGCUCAUAUCUCCAGCUGUCUACUCUACUUCAGCGUCUAGCAGGCAUCUCACUCUUAAUCCUCAUUUUACUUUCCAAGUCCACUCUUUUCUCUCUUCCCCCUAGUCUAUUCUCAGCAGGCUAGCCAGAGUGAUCCUAUUAAACCAUGGGGCAGAUCAUAUCACUCUUCUACUUCAGACCCUACAAUGGCUUCUGGUCACUCUUAGAAAAAAAUCAAAGUCCUUACCAUGACUUAUUUAGGCCUUACCCAGUCUGCCCACGGUUACUUUCUGUUCAUUCUGUGCCAGCCAAACUAGCCUUCCAGCUGCUCCUGGAACAGGCCAGUCAUGUUCAUGCCUAAGGGCCUGCUCAGUUGCUGUCCCCUUUGCCCAAAUUGCUCUUCCCUCAGAUAUCUGCAUGGAUUCUUCCAUUGCCUCUUUCAGGUCUUCAUUCAGACAUUCCUUUUUGUGGAUACUUUCCUUGACCACCCUAUUAAAAUUGCAAUGCCCUUUCUUACCCACCUUCUCUAAUUUAUCACUCCCCUUGGUACUAUCACCUUCUAAACAUUUACUGAUUUACUUUAUUAUGUCUCCCGCAUCCCCAGAAUGUAAGCUUUAUGAGGGGUGGGAUCUCCAUCUGUUACCUGAUGUAUCCCCAUGCCCAUGUCAGCCAUAGAAGGUGCUCAAUACACACUUGUUAAAUAUUUGAUAAUGUAUCUCUGUAUCAAAGAACAUAGUCUGCAUGUGAUCUUCAGAAAACCAGUUUUCCAAAGGAAGGGAUCAGAUCUCCAACUAGGGUUCUUUCUUAAGCUCUUCACAAAGCUGAAGCACUCGCUGUGAGGCAGACCCUUGUGUUUGUGCGGUGGGCUGAGCAUUCCCUGUGAACCCUCGCUGCCCAUUCACACCACUGAAAGCUCUUUCUGCUGAACACGUGAAACUGAAACACCGUGCAACAUUUU
rnacentral:lncRNA from 10 species